AAACUCCUUACAAAAAUGAUGGUUUCAAUUUCACGCGCAGAAUGAGAAACAAAGCCAUCAUUUGUAAAACAUUACAUUUUUCUGUUAAUAAGCAGCGAAAUGAGCCCAUAACAACUCAUGUUCCAAAUUAGCUUUUCAUCAAGCUAAGAAUUAUAUUCUCAAAAACAUUAUUUAUUUAUCCUGUAAAAAUAAUUCAACUUUUUCUAUAUGAAUUUCUCUUGUUUCUUUCUAAACCAAUAUCAUUUAUUUGCACUUUAAAAUCUCAUUUUUCUUUAGGAUUGGUGAUGGCAUUGAUUGGCUCUCUACUUACAAUGCUUUUGGCCUUUAUUCUUCCUUGUGUCUGCUUUUUAUGCAUUGCCAGAAAUAAAGCAACUUGGCCUCAGGUGGCUAUGUGCGCCUUGGUUCUUAUUGUAGGAGUUUCCUCCUCAGCAAUUGGCACCUACUCCGCAAUCUCCAAAAUUAUUGAUAAGUUGCGUUGAUUUCAAUUCCCAAGUCUGGUCUGGUGCUUUAUGUAUCAUUAUUUUGUAAUAUAAAAUCAUUGGGACAUUAUCUUGCUUUCAUUAUUAUUUUUUAUCUUUUCGUUCCAUCUUCUGUUUUUAUUGAUUUUUCUAAUAAAUGAUCAGUGGUGCAGAGGAAUAACAAUUCAA